rnacentral:sRNA from 1 species
GUUGACAUGACCAAGCCGACGAUGCCA